rnacentral:misc_RNA from 1 species
CUCUUUAUAAAUAUUACCUGCUGCAACAUAAACUGAGGUGGUAUUGUAAAAACCCAUGCCCCUAAGCAUCAUUCCCACCUCUAGUGGAGUUAAAGGGCAUUUUCCANNNUUUUGCCCCUGGCGUUAUUCCCCUACCUCUUCCCCUGAAUUUUCCUCUCCAGCCUCUUUCUCGAGCAAUAUCCAUUUCAUGUUUCUCUUCCUCCCCGCCAUCAUACUCACAGCAUGAAAAUGCAACCAUAUCCAUUUCAAACCGAAGAUGCACAGAAACAUAUUUGCCCCCACUCUGUGAGCUAUUCUUAACCAUUCGAUCAACCAUCUUCUCUGCAAGAGUUCUUAUAGGUUCUGAAAACCUCAGUGCUUCAAAAUUGGCUAAGCAUCUAAGCCUCUGGAUAUCUGGAGGAACUGCUUGAGCCAGUCUAUUGGAGAAAGGGGCAAUGCGAACUGCCCGCAUCUCCAUCAGCUUUGGAAGCA